rnacentral:rRNA from 1 species
CCUACGGGAGGCUGCAGUGAGGAAUAUUGGUCAAUGGACGAGAGUCUGAACCAGCCAAGUAGCGUGAAGGAUGACUGCCCUAUGGGUUGUAAACUUCUUUUAUAUGGGAAUAAAACGUUCCACGUGUGGGAUUUUGUAUGUACCAUAUGAAUAAGGAUCGGCUAACUCCGUGCCAGCAGCCGCGGUAAUACGGAGGAUCCGAGCGUUAUCCGGAUUUAUUGGGUUUAAAGGGAGCGUAUGUGGAUUGUUAAGUCAGUUGUGAAAGUUUGCGGCUCAACCGUAAAAUUGCAGUUGAAACUGGCAGUCUUGAGUACAGUAGAGGUGGGCGGAAUUCGUGGUGUAGCGGUGAAAUGCUUAGAUAUCACGAAGAACUCCGAUUGCGAAGGCAGUUCACUGGACUGCAACUGACACUGAGGCUCGAAAGUGUGGGUAUCAAACAGGAUUAGAUACCCCAGUAGUC